rfam:Orchesella cincta Ocin01_Sc8247, whole genome shotgun sequence.
CCAUCGGCCUUUCUAAAGGCCACCAUAAUUUCCAAAGAGCCCCAAU